UCAGUCACUUUACUUCGUUCCUUGCCUCUACGGGUCUGACUGAGCCAAUACGAGGCUAACAAACCGUAAGGAGCAAUAAAUG
rfam:Shewanella sp. YQH10 contig1, whole genome shotgun sequence.